AUUGAACGCUGGCGGCAGGCCUAACACAUGCAAGUCGAACGGUAGCACAGAGAGCUUGCUCUCGGGUGACGAGUGGCGGACGGGUGAGUAACGUCUGGGAAACUGCCCGAUGGAGGGGGAUAACUACUGGAAACGGUAGCUAAUACCGCAUAACGUCGCAAGACCAAAGUGGGGGACCUUCGGGCCUCACACCAUCGGAUGUGCCCAGAUGGGAUUAGCUAGUAGGUGGGGUAAUGGCUCACCUAGGCGACGAUCCCUAGCUGGUCUGAGAGGAUGACCAGCCACACUGGAACUGAGACACGGUCCAGACUCCUACGGGAGGCAGCAGUGGGGAAUAUUGCACAAUGGGCGCAGGCCUGAUGCGGCCAUGCCGCGUGUAUGAAGAAGGCCUUCGGGUUGUAAAGUACUUUCAGCGGGGAGGAAGGCGGUGAAGUUAAUAACUUCACCGAUUGACGUUACCCGCAGAAGAAGCACCGGCUAACUCCGUGCCAGCAGCCGCCGUAA
rnacentral:rRNA from 1 species